rnacentral:rRNA from 1 species
GUCCACGCCGUAACGAUGUCUACUAGCUGUUCGUGGUCUUGUACUGUGAGUAGCGCAGCUAACGCACUAAGUAGACCGCCUGGGAGUACGGUCGCAAGAUUAACUCAAAUGAAUUGACGGGGCCCGCACAAGCGGUGGAGCAUGUGGUUUAAUUCGACGCAACGCGAAGAACCUUACCUACUCUUGACAUCUACGGAAGUUUGCAGAGAUGCAGACGUGCCUUCGGGAACCGUAAGACAGGUGCUGCAUGGCUGUCGU